GACGAACGCUGGCGGCGUGCUUAACACAUGCAAGUCGAACGGAAAGGCCCUGCUUUUGUGGGGUGCUCGAGUGGCGAACGGGUGAGUAACACGUGAGUAACCUGCCCUUGACUUUGGGAUAACUUCAGGAAACUGGGGCUAAUACCGGAUAGGAGCUCCUGCUGCAUGGUGGGGGUUGGAAAGUUUCGGCGGUUGGGGAUGGACUCGCGGCUUAUCAGCUUGUUGGUGGGGUAGUGGCUUACCAAGGCUUUGACGGGUAGCCGGCCUGAGAGGGUGACCGGCCACAUUGGGACUGAGAGACGGCCCAGACUCCUACGGGAGGCAGCAGUGGAGAAUAGUGCACAAUGGGCGGAAGCCUGAUGCAGCAACGCCGCGUGCGGGAUGACGGCCUUCGGGUUGUAAACCGCUUUCGCCUGUGACGAAGCGUGAGUGACGGUAAUGGGUAAAGAAGCACCGGCUAACUACGUG
rnacentral:rRNA from 1 species